GGAAUAUUGGACAAUGGCCGCAAGGCUGAUCCAGCCAUCCAGCGUGCAGGAAGAAGGCCCUAUGGGUUGUAAACUGCUUUUAUCAGGGAAGAAACCUGUGGAUUUACUCCGCAGCUGACUGUACCUGACACAUAAGCACCGGCUAACUCCGUGCCAGCAGCAGCGGUAAUACGGAGGGGGCGAGCGUUAUCCGGAAUUACUGGGUUUAAAGGGUGCGUAGGCGGCUAUGUAAGUCAGGAGUGAAAGUUUGCGGCUCAACCGUAAAAUUGCUUUGGAUACUGCAUAGCUGGAAUUAGGAUGAGGUCAGCGGAAUGUGGCAUGUAGCGGUGAAAUGCAUAGAUAUGCCAUAGAACACCAAUUGCGAAGGCAGCUGACUAGACCUGGAUUGACGCUGAGGCACGAAAGCGUGGGGAGCGAA
rnacentral:rRNA from 1 species